rnacentral:rRNA from 1 species
CCUACGGGUGGCAGCAGUGGGGGAUAUUGCACAAUGGGGGGAACCCUGAUGCAGCGACGCCGCGUGGGUGAAGAAGCGCCUCGGCGCGUAAAGCCCUGUCAGCAGGGAAGAAAAUGACGGUACCUGAAGAAGAAGCCCCGGCUAACUACGUGUCAGCAGCCGCGGUAAUACGUAGGGGGCAAGCGUUAUCCGGAGUUACUGGGUGUAACGGGGGCGCAGACGGCGAUGCAAGCCAGGAGGGAAAGCACGGGGCCCAACCCCGGGACGGCUCUUGGAACUGCGGGGCUGGAGUGCAGGAGGGGAAGGCGGAAUUCCAGGUGUAGCGGUGAAAUGCGUAGAUAUCAGGAGGAACACCAGUGGCGAAGGCGGCCUUCUGGACUGCAACUGACGUUGAGGCCCGAAAGCGUGGGGAGCAAACAGGAUUAGAUACCCUAGUAGUC